AAAAAUAAUAAUAAUAAUAAAACACCAGGGCAAAUGGCCAAUACUAAGGGUAUAGAUGCUCUAUGGAAGAGUCAUGUAUCAUAUGAUAAAAGUUGUUUAGCUGGAAUCCAACAUUAAGCAUCAAACAAAAGGCAACCUGUGCAAUGAUCCAACACCAUGCGCUUCCUUGUGAGUUCCACUUGUGUAAACUUGUGCGCCAAAAAACGCGAUAUUGGAGAAAGGAAAUUGGUCAAAAACAGACACUCACACUCACACUGUUGUUCCAAAAAGAAAGCAUCAAAAAAGAAAAUGGGCCAAUCUUAUAACCACAAUUCCAAAAGUACAAACGUUCAACAAGCCCAACACCACCUACACAUCCACCCCCCCCACAAAAAAAAAAAAAA
rnacentral:misc_RNA from 1 species